AUUGCUGAUUUGGUAACCACUUCAGAGCAUAUCCUAUUUAUUCCCAGCAUGGACCUAAAUCCACUUCAGCCAAAAACGAACCAAGAAAUGAUGAAGAACAGAGCCUGUUUCUUUCUCAGUGGUGUAUUCAGAAAAUAGGAUGCAAGAGUAAAAGCUGAUCCUCGAGGCUUGUGAAAGUGGGGUUCUUUCUGAAAGUGCAGCCAGCAGCCAAGAGCCACCCUUCAGAAGAUAAAAAGAAGAGCAGCUGCAUGAGCGAUGGCCACAGCAACGCAUGGGUCCUGUCUGUCCACGUAGUCCUCUCCAUCUGCCUGUAGUUUGCCAGGUCUUCUACCCACACUGGGGAAAUUCCAGCUGCCAACCCUCUUUGGGCUGCACCUCCCCUUUUUGCACAGGGCUCUAUUGGGAAGGCAGCUGUCAUGUGUCUAUUUGAAAGACAAGAAACCAGUCUAGUUAUAGAAAAGAGAUUUAGAUUACAUCAGAAUAACAAUGCAAAUCAUUUGUGCAGUUCUUAGUACAGAAAACAGAUGUAGGAACAAAAAUUGGGAGAGUUAAAGAAAGUGGUUUUUUAUUCUGUCAUCAAAAUAGUUUUUUAAAAACAUGUCACAAAAAAGCACAUCUGUAGUAAGAUAAAUAAUUGUGUGCUGGCUUCAUAAACAGAAUGAAUGGUUGAAUUCACACAACGUUAUUUACUGUUUCAGGGCACACACACGUGGUUUCCAUGUGGUUUCUUGCCACUUUGGCCUUCAACUGGCCUUGAUAUUUUCCACUGAGGGUUGUCUGAUUGUCUCCUACCACAGCCCUGAGUCUAAGCAAAAGCCCAUGAGUUGGUUGACUGGUGUUCCUGUCGUACUUGGGAGUAGACAGACCGGCAGAUGUGGGGCUAGUGGGGAAGAUUCUCAUAAACACUUUAUUUGUUGUAAGAACUCCAAUUGGAAUGUGGCUUCCACUCAUGGGAGGAGGACUGCUUUAGAACAAGAAACUUUCUAUAAUAAUACCAAUAAAACCCAAGACUAUUAUUCUGAACAGAAACAAGAAAUACAGCUGGAGCUAUUUCCUAUCCACCUGAUGAAGGGCACUACCAGGCACUCACUCUGGCUCUGUCCACCGAUGCCUGUGCCCACUUUGUGUGACAUAGCUUCCAUGGAGACAAGAGCAAUGGUAAUGGAAGAAGAAAGUCUGGAUGUACUCGUGCAGAAAGACAAAGCUUCAUGGAACAAUAUUAAUCUUCCGGUCAUCUCUGUGCCCAUAAAGUUGUCAGACUGACUUUGGAUUUAAAGCCUGAAAAUGAGUCCCAAGGAAGUCCGUUGACAUGAGGCCCAAGGAAGACAGUUUUUGGAAGGGGCAAGACAGGAAAGAU